GCAGCCGCGCCAGCCUCAUGCCGAGUCCCGCUAGAGAAGCCACAGCCAGUACGCCAGGUUUCCCCGCGCCUCUGCCGAGUGUCAUUCUCCAGCUGGGAUUGAGAACAAGGGGAAGCUGGCCAUAGAGCCAGGUGACCAAAGAUGGAAGACAAAGGGUGGGCUGUGAUUCCCAGAGCUCCAAGCCUUGUUCUGUCUUGUCACACCAACUGUUACUGAUGAACAGGUUUACAAUCUUUGAGGCCUGGCUGACUCAUGGAACAACUAGGACAAGAAACAAAGACAAAGAACACACACCUGACUGGACAGAGAUAAACCAAGAGCUGAGAGUUUUGGAAACAAGGCUGGAGCUGAGGAAAAGGACUGGGAACACGAACCUGUACAAACAACAAAUUCUUACAACAGAAAACAAGCCACUCCUGGCCAUCAAGAAACCCACAAAUCUCAGAAGCAAAAGCAAAACAAAUGAAAAUACAAACCAAAUAGUCUCUAUUACCUUCAUGCCUGUUGGGUCCCA
rnacentral:lncRNA from 1 species